GCCUAUGUAGCUCAAGUGGCAAAGCACCGGUCUUUUAAGCCAGAGGUCGUGAGUUCAAUCCUCACAGGAGGCA
rnacentral:tRNA from 1 species